UGCUGCUUGGUAUAUAGGUCGUUGAUCUUAAU
rnacentral:piRNA from 1 species